CGCACGGGUGCGUAACGCGUAUGCAAUCUGCCUUCCACAGAGGGAUAGCCCAGAGAAAUUUGGAUUAAUACCUCAUAGCAUUACAGGAUGGCAUCAUCCGGUAAUUAAAGUCACAACGGUGGAAGAUGAGCAUGCGUCCCAUUAGCUAGUUGGUAAGGUAACGGCUUACCAAGGCGACGAUGGGUAGGGGUCCUGAGAGGGAGAUCCCCCACACUGGUACUGAGACACGGACCAGACUCCUACGGGAGGCAGCAGUGAGGAAUAUUGGUCAAUGGGUGCAAGCCUGAACCAGCCAUGCCGCGUGCAGGAUGACGGUCCUAUGGAUUGUAAACUGCUUUUGUACGGGAAGAAACACUGAUUCGUGAAUCAGCCUGACGGUACCGUAAGAAUAAGGAUCGGCUAACUCCGUGCCAGCAGCCGCGGUAAUACGGAGGAUCCAAGCGUUAUCCGGAAUCAUUGGGUUUAAAGGGUCUGUAGGCGGUCUUGUAAGUCAGUGGCGAAAGCCCAUCGCUCAACGGUGGAACGGCCAUUGAUACUGCAGGACUUGAAUUACCGGGAAGUAACUAGAAUAUGUAGUGUAGCGGUGAAAUGCUUAGAUAUUACAUGGAAUACCAAUUGC
rnacentral:rRNA from 1 species